GCCUUUGCUGGUGUGUGGCGAUUAGGCCUGGUGGAACUGCCAUCAAUAAAUCAAGCGUGAUCAGGGCAGCACUGAGAAGUGAAGGAAUAUUUGGGAGGAUCAGAAGCUUGGUCCUGAUUUUGCCAUCAACAGGAACUUGAUGACUUCAAGGGAGUCCCCAAACCCUGGGUUUCUGUUUUCUCAACUCUAACAUGAGGGGCUAGAUGCAUCUGGUUUAGUUAGUCUCCAUGAUGGUUUAGUUCGUCUCCAUGAUCCUGUGAAUUUCAGAUGUUGAAAAUCUUCGGAAAAGCCCUGAAAGAUGAACAGUGGUCUCAAAUAGUCAAGACCCCCUGCUGGGAGGAGCUUCUAUCCUGCUCUGUGGAAGAAAUGGGCAUGCCAGAUGC
rnacentral:lncRNA from 10 species